ACAAUUUACUUAGCAAAUGGUGAUAAUGUUUGUUAAUGAAAGAGAGUACGGGACAAAUUAACAUUUAAACCUUAAACUAGCAGCGCACGUCACUUUCUGAAUGAGGUGCGCGACGUGCGCGUGCCCGUCAUUUUGUAACGGUCAACUUCCAGCGGACGGACACGGAGGAAAGGGCCUGACAACCACCAGUUGAGUCCAUGAUUCAGGGAAGAGACAGUCUGGGCAGCAGCAACAAGACAACUAUUACAAGUAGAGAUGGGUUUCAAGAACUGGUACUAAUUUGGUUCCUGACUUGUUCAGUACUGAAAACAUUUACAUAAGGUACAGGAUCAAUAGUGCUGCUAUCAGUAUUCUUGUAACAUUGAUUCAUUACCCUUUAGACACAACCACAUAUCCUCCAAAUCAUCUCUGCGUGGAUGGCAGCAAGGAUCCAGGAUCAAGAGGUCAUUCUUCAUGGAGACUGUUCCACAGGAAGCAGUUUCUCCUGGGUGAAAAACUAAACCUGGUUGUUUCAGCAUCACUCAGGCAAGCCUAAAUACUUUUAAAUUGAUUUCAGUUGGUUAUGUGUUUCAGGUCAUCCUGACCAUUCUGCUGUCAUGGAUGUAAGGCCGUGCUGGAACUACAUUUCUCGUGAUUGAAAGAUUUGUGCAGCGGUAUCCAGACAUAUAACGCCCCAUCACACGGGGCGUCAACGCCUCUCGUUUACUUUUAAAUGAAGUGACGUCAAGGAUGGUGAAAUUAAUUCUAGAAAUUAAUUCUAAAUAGAAGUUGAAGACUUCUCAAGCGCCAAUGCAGCCGUCCUCCAGUCAGAACAUCCUAUGCAAAUACCCUAGCGCAGACGCAAGCCAAUCGAGUGCAUGCAAUACCAGAAAACUAAUGUGAUUGGCUGUCACUAUGAGAAGAGACAGUAGUUCUGAUCCGAUAUCAGUGUCGUUUUUUGCAAAAAAAAUUUUAAAUCAAUGUAGAAUUUUCUAUACUUCUGUGUAGGGAUGUCAAUUUUCAAUCAUUUCCAUGAUCGAUCGUCGUUUAAAUUAAUGAACAAAUAAUCGAUUAAUCGUUAACCUUAAUGCUGCAAAGUCUAUUGCAGUAACACCCAGUCACUGGUAUGACAGGAUGUGCAAAAGUGUGUGUGUGUGUGUGUGUGUGUAUAUAUAUAUAUAUAUAUAUAUAUAUAUAUAUAUAUAUAUAUAAAAAAACUGUAAAAUAUAUAUUUUACAGUAAAGACCAAAAGUUUGGACACACCUUCUCAUUCAAAGAGUUUUCUUUAUUUUCAUGACUAUGAAAAUUGUAGAUUCACACUGAAGGCAUCAAGGGCUAUUUGACCAAGAAGGAGAGUGAUGGGGUGCUGCUCCAGAUGACCUGGCCUCCACAGUCACCGGACCUGAACCCAAUCGAGAUGGUUUAGGGGUGAGCUGGACCGCAGACAGAACGCAAAAGGGCCAACAAGUGCUAAGCAUCUCUCUGGGAACUCCUUCAAGACUGUUGAAGACCAUUUCAGGUGACUACCUCUUGAAGCUCAAGAGAAUGCCAAGAGUGUGCAAAGCAGUAAUCAAAGCAAAAGGUGGCUACUUUG